AGCGUAGACGGCAAGGCAAGUCUGAUGUGAAAACCCAGGGCUUAACCCUGGGACUGCAUUGGAAACUGUCUGGCUCGAGUGCCGGAGAGGUAAGCGGAAUUCCUAGUGUAGCGGUGAAAUGCGUAGAUAUUAGGAGGAACAUCAGUGGCGAAGGCGGCUUACUGGACUGAAACUGACACUGAGGCACGAAAGCGUGGGAGGCAAACA
rnacentral:rRNA from 1 species